GUAGGUGGCAAGCGUUGUCCGGAAUUAUUGGGCGUAAAGCGCGCGCAGGCGGUUCUUUAAGUCUGAUGUGAAAGCCCACGGCUCAACCGUGGAGGGUCAUUGGAAACUGGAGAACUUGAGUACAGAAGAGGAAAGCGGAAUUCCACGUGUAGCGGUGAAAUGCGUAGAGAUGUGGAGGAACACCAGUGGCGAAGGCGGCUUUUCUGGUCUGUAACUGACGCUGAGGCGCGAAAGCGUGGGGAGCAAACAGGGAUUAGAUACCCUGGUAGUCCACGCCGUAAACGAUGAGUGCUAAGUGUUAGGGGGUUUCCGCCCCCCUUAGUGCUGCAGCUAACGCAUUAAGCACUCCGCCUGGGGAGUACGGCCGCAAGGCUG
rnacentral:rRNA from 1 species